AGAGUUUGAUCAUGGCUCAGAACGAACGCUGGCGGCGUGGAUAAGACAUGCAAGUCGAACGAAUUAGCUUGGUAGUAAUAUUAAGCUAAUUAGUGGCGAACGGGUGCGUAACACGUGGGUCACAUUCCGGGAAGUGGGGAAUAGCCCAGGGAAACUUGGAUUAAUGCCCCGUGUGGUCGAAAGACUAAAGGCGCAAGCCGCUUCCUGAUUGGCCCGCGGCCUAUCAGCUUGUUGGUGGGGUAAUGGCCCACCAAGGCUACGACGGGUAGCUGGUCUAAGAGGACGACCAGCCACACUGGAACUGAGACACGGUCCAGACACCUACGGGUGGCAGCAGUCGAGAAUCUUUCACAAUGGGGGAAACCCUGAUGGAGCGACGCCGCGUGGAGGAUAAGGUCUUCGGAUUGUAAACUCCUGUCAUGCGAGAACAAAGCCUCACGGCCUGAUAGUAUCGCA
rnacentral:rRNA from 1 species